CCGGCCACAAAUAGCGGCUGCUGAGGUGGCGCUGAGGGGUUGGUUCCAGGGCCCCGACCUGAGAACAGAGCAGAAGGAAGGAGGAAAUGGGCCUGGGGCAGGGGACCACAGGCACUCCGCUGGGUCUGAGAAGGAUGCUGAGGGUAAAGACCACGCUCCAGGAGGAUGGGUGACUUGCUCAAGGUCACACCAGGUGGAGCCAGGAUUUUCUUUAAGAUCUCUGCCAAGGGCCUGCUAUGUGCCAGGCACAGUUGCAGGUGCUGAGGUGAACAGGAGCCGGCCCCGACCUCAGACGGCUUAUGCGGAGGUGUGCUGGAGCUGUCCCGGGUGUGGGCCUCCCUGGACCGCAAGCUCCCUGUGGACAGUGGUGUUUCCCUUGUCUGCGCCGCAUCCUCCACACCUAGCCCAGAGCUGGCAUGUGUCAAGACGGACGGAACGGCUUAGGAGCCGGCCCGCGAGGCCCACCGCCCUCAGAAGUGUGCAGCGCGCCGGACGCCCAGAGCUCAGCCGCAGCGGCGGCGAAACCCCACCUACCGGACCCGGCUUGGUCACCGGACCCCGGGGCGGGGCCCGGAAACCCCCUCCCCUGGGCGGGGCCCGGAA